rnacentral:lncRNA from 1 species
UCUCUGAGGAGUGCAAGUGAUUACUCUGAGGGAGAGGAGGCAAGCGGACCUCUUAAAUCACUUUUAUCUGCAAGCUUCUGUUACAUGAUCAUACCGGACCAGAAAUUCCAAAUUCAACCUCUCGAAAACCACUCGAGCCAUUCCCGUUGUGCAGAGAUUAUUAAUUCAAUUUUAUUAAGCAACAUAAGCUACUCAUUUCAUUUCAUGUAACAGGGGAGGAGACCUGUUCUCUUCAGUAUAGAGGAAGAGAGAGCCAAGAUUCAGCCUGUGAUCAGCAUGCUCAGGGCCAGAUGUGCAAACAGGAUAAUCAUCUUAGGAAAAUCACACUACAGUGAGAGAAGAAACCUGUCGAUUUCUUCACUCUGUCCCAUCCACCGGUACCACGUCAGCAUUCAGGAAAGCUGAA